CUGGUCUCCAAGGCCCCUUCUGGCACGUACCCCACAGGAUUUGAUGAUUCAUUCCUGCCUGCCACCGAUCCUGGAUUGACCAAGCUCACCCAUGGAGAGAGACAUGCAAGAAUGGCAGGUUACCACCCUUCAGUGAAGAGAAACACUACUGAAGCUCAUCAGCCCUUUUUUGGAAACAGGAGAAGAGAUUCACUUCUCUGCCUGUCUAAGGAGACAGAUGUGGACAUCAGUGCCCUUACACAAAGCAGUUGGUGGUUCUAAAUAAGAUGAAGCGGCAGUAUGUUGAUGGAGUAUAUUCAGAGAUUAAAAAAGAAAGUAUACUUUUCUAGAAGUUACUCAAGAGAAAUGAAGACAUAUGCCCACAAAGCCUUGUCUGUAAAUAUUCUGAGCUGUAUGUCUCAUAAUAGCCAAAUAAAACAUGGAAAAAUGCCAAAGGUCCAUCAGCCAGUGAAUGCAUGAACAAAACAUUUCCAUUUUGGUGAAUACUAUUCAACAAUAAAAAGGAAUGAACUACUGAUACAUGCAGCAGCACGGAUGAACCUUGAAAACAUUAUGGGAAGUGAAAGAAACCAGACACAAGAGCUACGAAAUAUAAGAUUCCAUUAAUAUGAAAUUUCUAGAAAAGGCAAAGCUAUAGUUUAUAAGAAACAGAUCAACAGUUGCGUAAGGAUGGGGUUGGAGACAGAAUUGACUGCA